rnacentral:rRNA from 1 species
UACGAAGGGGGCUAGCGUUGUUCGGAAUUACUGGGCGUAAAGCGCACGUAGGCGGCUCUUUAAGUCGGGGGUGAAAUCCUGGAGCUCAACUCCAGAACUGCCUUCGAUACUGGAGAGCUUGAGUCCGGGAGAGGUGAGUGGAACUGCGAGUGUAGAGGUGAAAUUCGUAGAGAUGCGGAGGAACACCGAUGGCGAAGGCAGCCCCCUGGGCUAACACUGACGCUCAGGCACGAAAGCGUGGGGAGCAAACAGG